AGAGGAUUAACCGAACAACAAGUAAUAAAUAUAAAGGUACACAACUCAUCAACAAAGCAAAGGGGCUGGUAGUGACCAUGAGUUUCGCAAAUGCAAAUGGAAAAAGAAGAACUAAAGGCAAGUGAUAGUGAUUAAAAUGCUUAUACUACAAAACCUCAUUUUUAGCAAAUGAAUAUGCAAAUUAAAGGUACAUAAAACCAUAAUCAA
rnacentral:misc_RNA from 1 species